ACCCAACAGUUCAGAACCCUGGAACCCACACAGCCAACUGUGAAGAACAGGCCAGCAGGGUCUCCUUCUAGAGACUCUAGAGAGAUCAGAAUGUUUUCUUGCUGUUUUAAGGCUACUCCAGGAUCAGAGCCCAAGAAAGACAAGAGUGAAGGCUGUGGUGUCUGGAAACACCAAGUUCACUCUUGCCUCCAAUGCUUCUGGCCAUUUGGCAGGAAGGAAACAAAUCUGACCCAGGGCAGCCAGGCCCAGGACUGCAAAGACUAGGUUGAGGAGUCUGGCCCAAAGGUCCAGGAAGAGCCCUGUAGAGAGUCCUGCAUCAGCGCAGUCAUGGUGGCAAGACUGGUGAACUGCCUUCCCUGCAGGAACCAUCUGUACUUUUCUGGAUACAUGGAUGGACAAGAAACCUGAGGAAUUUUGCCAGUCUUCAGCCCUGACAAUUGUGAAACAGCUGAAGAAUUUCUUGGUUGUGAACAUGCCCUACUCAGAUCUUACCGUUCAUGUCCAUAUGCUCCUGACCCAUUUGGAGGAAGAAGAGGGCACUGAAUCAGAGGCCAGGAAUGAAGAAGCCUCGGAGAUGCCCACAUCAGCAACAUAUCUGCCUGCAUCCAUCAAUCCAAAGAGACAUGCAUUCACAGAUCCAGAUCUUGAAGUGUGUUAACCAGCAGCGAUGCCAGCUACUCUGGUGCCAGAACCAACUUGUGCACCAGAGCCAGAGAGUACAAACACCACCAGAAGAUUCCGUGACAUCUCUGCUGUUGGAACCAGAUGUGACAGCAGCUUUCCAGCCAGCACACCUGUGAGCUGCUGUGGAUCCUGUGUGUCUCACCGUGUCAGCCGACACAGUGCAACUUUCACUUAUCCCACCUUCCAUCGAUGGGUCUACCUCCCUGGGGAAUGGCCUGCCACCCUUUCUCCUCGUUUCCCAUCUAUAUCCAUUCUGCAGACAGCACCAGUUCUGUAUUCCUCCACAGAGUCACAUCCUGAUUUCAACCAUGCUCCGUUCCCACCAUCACAACCAGCUUCCCCUCCCCGAGAAAUAGCCUCUUUACUCUUCUGGCUCUUUUCGACAUUGUGUGAAAGUAUUGGUUUUAGUAAAUUAUUAGUGACUGAUUUUCAUUGUCUUAAUUAUGGUUAUGAUGUCCACUCAGCAUGCUUGUACAUGCUUGUACAGGGGUUAGCAAUGUCCCCAAGCAGAUACAUGGAGGCCAUACUGGAGAGAAGGCAGGCAGAAUCCCCUGAUUUCACAGAGACCAGGAGAAUGCCUGAGAGUGGUGAUAGAAUUACAGAGAAUUAGGCUAGCUGUCAUUUGCUGUGUUCCUAGCAGCUAGGGUCAUGUGCUUAGAGGUCAGGCUGCCCAGGUGUCCUUCAAACAGGUUUCUGCUUUAGUUUCAUUCUCCUUACACUAGGUAGCAGUACCAUUUUAGGGUCUGAUGAGGACUAAUUGUGAUGUCAUGAGAUGCCUGACUCUCACGAGUGCAAGCUGGACACAUACCCGCCAUUGCCAAUAUUUCGUAUACUAUUUGAAGAGCGAGUCUCUGGAGUUCUCAGGAGUGUUUCAUGCUACUGAUGAUGCUUAAACCAUGCUGAUUUUCUUGUAGUAUUGCCUCAAUGUUGGGGACAGUCUGUGAGUUACAAUGUCAAGUUUUUAGUUAUAUUUCCUCCAGUGUUUAUGGAUAUGGCCCACAAACAAGCCAACUGAACUUACCAUGCUUCUCUGGCUCUCUCAGGACAAUUCCAUUGGUGACUACCAUCUAUUGAUGUCCCAUAUAUGUCACCUUGGGCAUCUGAGGGACUUGUCUUCCCAGUAAGGCCAGUCAGGUGUCCAGAACUUCUAGGGGGUCACAUAUCUGCUCACUAUAGCUUCCUAGGAAUGAAGGGAUCCCACCAUCAAUCAUCAUGGCAUUUUUCAUAGGGGUAAAAUCCUGCAAGUCUCAAUUAGCUAACCUAAGUGUCCAGACCUCAGAGAGUCCAUGUUGUAGCUGGGGGCGGGUUGAACUUCAGUAAGGUCUGUGUAGGGCAAGAUAAGAUGGAGGAAUGUAGUUGUUCAGGAAGUCAGCUGAGAGUGGUUUGAUAUCAAUCUUUCUGGUGAAACAGGAAAUCAAGGGUGUGCAAGUCCUCCACAGCAGGAGCAGUGGACUGGCUGCAACACGAUUGUACAGGAAAUUUAAGAUGGUGAAGAGGUGUGUGUCCAUACACAAACAGAAAGGGAAACUGCUCUUACAGGUCAUAGGUUAUGUGGAAAAGACUGGGCCUCCAUGAGAUCUCAGUAGAGCUAAUAAUGAACUGCCAAGUCAUAAAUGAAUAAUGGAUAAAAACUGGAUAUUUGAUCUUCAGCAGUGAAAGAGCUAAAAAUGAAAACAUCACAAAUUGAUAUCAAUGAAAUAAUACAAAAGAUUAUAUUUUAAAUGUACACAGUGAGAACCAGACAUUUCCAGUGUAAACUUUGUGCUACCGAAAGUAUAAUAGAGAGACUGUAUUACUCUGCUCAAGGGCUGAGAAGCUCAGUUAUCUCUCCAAUUGUCAUUAUUGUGGCAGUUGGCAUCAUCGUUGCUGUGGUCAAGCACUUGCCAGCAGCACAGUGGGGAAAACCGAGUUGUCCCUCAGCUUCAGAGGCCAACUCCAUCAUGACAAGGAGGGCAAGGCGCAAUUGAGCAGUUCAUUCCACAUCGAGUAAAGGAGAAGAGAAUCAGGUGCUUGGCUGGCUUUCUUCUGUGAUUCUGCCCAGAACUCAGACCAAUGGGAUAGUGUAGUGCCCAUCCAGUGUGGGUGUUACCUCAACAGUGAAUCCUCAGAAGAGUCACCACAGGACACACACUCAGUUGUACCUCACCAAUCUAGUGUUUCCCAAAUUCACGUCUAUCUACAGUGAAUACUCACCAUCUCACUUACUUGCAUCAGUCUACCAUUCAAUGUAGACUUACUGUAGUCAAACCUGACCGCUGUGGUUUCUUCUUCCCAAACACUCAGGAUCAAAGCAGGCCACAGACCUGCUUCUUCCUGCAGAACAGAGCAAAGAUCCCAUUUAACAGCUGGAAAGGGAAGGAACCUUGGAGACUUAGCUCUGAAAAACCCUAGGUAGCACCCUUGCUGCUCUUCAGCAGCUGCCAGGCACAAGGCUGCCUGCUAACUUUGAGAAAGAGGCCAGUGUUGCAGUGCUUGCCUAGCAUGUGUGAGACAGACCCUGCCAUCGAUGCCCAGCAAUACAGGAAGAAAACUAGUUUUCAGACAUGUGUCUGUCACGCUGUCACUUCCUACUUUUAGGAAUUAUCUGUGGUAGAUUCUCAAGCUACAAACCCUGAUGUCCCUGGACUCUGUGAAAUUUAAGGUUUUAUAUUUUCAUUUAAUAACUUGACAUGGUAAAAGCACGUUAUGAGUCAAGUGGUUGUAUUUAUAAUGGACUUAGCCCACUACACAGGGAUAUAUUGUGCCAGGAAGAUAGUCAGAAAAGAACCAGAGUAGAAUUGAUAUGUAAAUGAUAUCACACUAAGCAGAGGUCAUUGUAUUUGAUUCUUUUCUGUUGCUGCGAUAAAACAUCAGGACCAAGGUAACUUAUAGAAAGAAGAGUCUACCUGGGUUUGGUUUCCAGUGGGAGACUAGUGCAUCCUGGUGUGGCUGAGGCGUGGCAGCAGGAACAGGAAUUUGAGAACUCUCAUCUUGAACUGCAAGUAGGAAGCAGAGAGAGCAAACUUCAAGUGGUGGAGGGUUUGUAACCUCAAAGCCCACCCCAGGGACAUCUUCCUCCAGCAAGGCUGUGCAACUUAAACCUCCUCGAAUAGCAUCACCACCUGAGCCUUGGUAUUCAAAACCUGAGACUCUGGGGACAGUAAUAUUCAAUCAACCACAGUUUGAUAAUGGUAUAGGGUGCAUCAAUGUACAGAUUAUACUCAUCACAACCAAAAAGUGGUAGGAAUUGUCAUCUCAAUCUGGUGGGAUCCUGGCUGUAACUGAGUCAGCUCAAGCUAACAUGAUUAUGGUUAACAAUGCUAUGUGUAGUAUCAGCAUCAUAAUCACCAACAUUAUCACCCAUCAUGAUAAUACAUUUAACUGAUAUUUGACUUAAUUCAGUUCAUACAUUGGUCCUUAAUGUAUGUUCCUGGUUCUUUAAGAAUAAGAGUUAGUCUCUGGUUGAAAUGGGUGCAGGAUUGUGGAGUGUGGAAUCAGGGAACAGGAUCUCAGACUGUCCCCUUUGUACCUUCCUCUCCCCAUCAGCUUAGCUAAUACCAAGAUGGAGCAGGGGAGAACCAGAAUAUGAAGCUGAAACUAAAUCCUGGCAGACCAGCUCACAUCCAGCUUCUGUGAUCUUUUCCUGUCCAUGCCAUGUCCACAUGCUUAGCUAUAAACAUCACACACACAGUUCAGAGUUCCUCUUGCUGUUAAUCUUGUCAUAGCCAUCUUGCUCAAGUUCCAUAUAGUUGUCCAAAUGGUGAUACCAUUUUGUUGUUUCAAUUUAUACUUUUAACUGUUGAAGAUGUUUUUCAUGUCUCUUUACAAAGUGUGCAUCUGUUACAUAGAUGAGCUAUUCACCUUUGGUCUAUUUAACUAAUAAGUUUAAAUUUUGGCAAUAAAUGUGUUUCCCCACUAUGUUACCAUA